GGGACUUAACUCAGGGGUAGAGUACUCGCUUUGCAUGCGAGACGUCGUGGGUUCGAUUGCCACAGUCUCC
rnacentral:tRNA from 1 species